AUNNGCCUGGUAGUGGGGGAUAACGCUCGGAAACGGACGCUAAUACCGCAUACGUCCUANNGGAGAAAGCNGGGGACCUUCGGGCCUUGCGCUAUCAGAUGAGCCUAGGUCGGAUUAGCUAGUUGGUGAGGUAAUGGCUCACCAAGGCGACGAUCCGUAACUGGUCUGAGAGGAUGAUCAGUCNNACUGGAACUGAGACACGGUCCAGACUCCUACNGGAGGCAGCAGUGGGGAAUAUUGGACANUGGGCGAAAGCCUGAUCCAGCCAUGCCGCGUGUGUGAAGAAGGUCUUCGGAUUGUAAAGCACUUUAAGUUGGGAGGAAGGGCAUUUACCNNNUACGUAAGUGUUUUGACGUUACCGNCAGAAUAAGCACCGGCNNNNNNUGUGCCAGCAGCCGCGGUAAUACAGAGGGUGCAAGCGUUAAUCGGAAUUACUGGGCGUAAAGCGCGCGUAGGUGGUUUGUUAAGUUGGAUGUGAAAUCCCCGGGCUCAACCUGGGAANUGCAUUCAAAACU
rnacentral:rRNA from 1 species